GCAAUCACGUGGUCUCAAAAUACGAACGUAGUGGCGGUGUGUGGACUGAUUUAAAUUGUCCGUUAUUACUGCGACUACAACCAUGCUGUGCCUACGUGGUCUCAACUGCUUCUGCCACGAUUUGACAUCUACAACUCUGAGGCUUCGCCUUCGCUGAGCUGCACGAAUCUCAUUCUCAGCAGAAGCGUCAGCUGCCGUGAUAAGGUGUUGCUCCACUGUGACACGCCUCAGGACAUUGUCGUGUCCUACUGACGGGUCCUGAGAGGGAGUGGAAGGACUGCGUUGGUGCGCGUCAGAGAACUUACUUGGCAUGAGGUCUCGGUGGUGUGGGCCGCCAACUCCUCACUGCUCCGUUGUAGAGAAGGC